GCCAUGCGUUUAGACUGGAAGAAAGAAAUUUCGUCUAAGGCAAAGGAAAGGUUUUUUUACUGUAAGAACAAUCAGGAUGUGGAAUUCUCUGCCUGAAGAAGUGGUUUUAUCAGAGUCCAUACAGAUGUUCAAACAGCUACUAGAUGCAUACUUGCAAAAACAGAAUAUUCAAGGAUAUAAUCUUUCAAUGUAGGGUAAUAACUACUUGAUCCAAGGAUAAAUCUGACUGCCAUUCUGGGGUCAAGAAGGAAUUUUGCAAAAUUGUGCUUCAAACUGGGUUUUUUUUGCCUUCUUUUGGAUCAACAGCAAAAAACAAAUGUGAGGAAUGCUGAACUUGAUGGACGCAAGUCUCUUUUCAGCUAUGUAACUAUUAAGCCUUCAUAGGAUAGACUUCAAAAAAGACAGAAAUGUGUAUUUUCUAUCUUCUAGGGCUGCCAUUGGGGGUGUGUGUGUCUGUUUCCCACAUUUCUAUAUGUAGGUUUAUGGUGUUGAAAAGGGAACAAUGUCUCAGUGGGUCAGGGGUUGAGUAUAUAGGUCGAAACUGGCAGAGAACAGUUUUGAGUCUAGGGCACAACCAUUUUUUAAACCUCAACAGAUAGAGAAUGGGGGGGAAGUGGUUGGGUGUGCAUGCAUGUGUAUUUGUUCACAUUAUAAAAAAGGUUUCAUUGAGAGAAUUCAUUCAUUAUUGUUAUAAUUUACCUGUAUUUCAGUCUAAAUGUAUAUAUACGUCUGAAGAAGCCCGUAAUUGAGUGAUUCACAUCACGUCACAAAGUCAUUGCGUGGUGGAUGGAGCUCCAGGAGGAUCUUAUCCUGCACUGUAAAUGGACUGUGAUUUGAUUCUUUAGUGUGUUCAUGAGACAGCAUAAGAUGUCCUCUCACAACUUGUUCAAGUAAGCUGCUGUCAUAUUUAUUGAUUUACAAUUUUAUUAGCUCAAUAAAGUGCACUGUAAAUGGGAUCACUUCAGAGUGGAAAUGGUAUUUCUGAUUAGAGAAUUGAAGGUGCAA